AUUGAACGCUGGCGGCAGGCUUAACACAUGCAAGUCGAGCGGUAACAGAGAGAAGCUUGCUUCUCUGCUGACGAGCGGCGGACGGGUGAGUAAUGCCUAGGAAUCUGCCUAGUAGUGGGGGAUAACUUGCCGAAAGGUAAGCUAAUACCGCAUACGUCCUACGGGAGAAAGGAGGGGACCUUCGGGCCUUUCGCUAUUAGAUGAGCCUAGGUCGGAUUAGUUAGUUGGUGAGGUAAUGGCUCACCAAGACCGCGAUCCGUAACUGGUCUGAGAUGAUGAUCAGUCACACUGGAACUGAGACACGGUCCAGACUCCUACGGGAGGCAGCAGUGGGGAAUAUUGGACAAUGGGUGGAACCCUGAUCCAGCCAUGCCGCGUGUGUGAAGAAGGUCUUAGGAUUGUAAAGCACUUUAAGUUGGGAGGAAGAGCAGUUAACUAAUAUUUGACUGUUUUGACGUUACCGACAGAAUAAGCACCGGCUAACUUCGUGCCAGCCGCCGCCGUAA
rnacentral:rRNA from 1 species